rnacentral:rRNA from 1 species
CCUUGUACACACCGCCCGUCACGUCAUGAAAGUGGGAAACGCCUGAAGUCGGUGUGCCAACCGUAAGGGGGCAGCUGCCGAGGGUGGAGCCCGCGAUUGGGACG